GCGGCCUGCCCGGGGUCCCUGCGCCCCGGCUGCGGUCACAAAGGGACGCGGUAGCGGAACGGCAUGGGAAGGCCGGCCGCAGAGGGUGAGAGCCCCGUACGCGAAACCCCGUCCCCCGCGGAAGGCCGACCCAGAGUAGGGCCGGGCACGUGAAACCCGGUCCGAAGCAGGGGGGACCACCCUCCAAGGCUGAACACUCUCCCGUGACCGAUAGCGAACCAGUACCGUGAGGGAAAGGUGAAAAGCACCCCGAGAGGGGAGUGAAACAGCGCCUGAAACCGUGCGCCCCCGAGCAGUCGGAGCAGUACAUACGUGACUGUGACGGCGUGCCUUUUGUAGAAUGAGCCAGCGAGUGGCCCUGUGCGGCGAGGUUAAGUUAGGAAACGAGCCGCAGCGAAAGCGAGCCUUUAAACGGGCGUGCAGUCGCACGGGGCCGACGCGAAGCCGGGUGAGCUAUCCUUGGGCAGGCUGAAGCGGGGGUAAGACCCCGUGGAGGGCCGAACCCACUUCGGUUGAAAACGGAGGGGACGACCCGAGGAUAGGGGUGAAAGGCCAAUCAAACCCGGAGAUAUCUCGUUCUCCCCGAAAUAGCUUUAGGGCUAGCCCCGGGGGUUCUCCCGCGGAGGUAGAGCACUGGACGGCCUAGGGGGCUUCACCGCCUGCCGAAGCCGACCAAACUCCGAAUACCGCGGGAUCAGACCCCGGGAGUCAGAAGGCGUGGGCUAAGCUGCGCCUUCGAGAGGGAAACAGCCCAGACCGCCCGCCAAGGCCCCCAAAUCCAUGUUGAGUGGCAAAGGAUGUGCGCUCGCCCAGACAGCCAGGAUGUUGGCUUAGAAGCAGCCAUGCAUUCAAAGAGUGCGUAACAGCUCACUGGUCGAGUGGGAGCGCGCCGACAAUACACGGGGCUAAGCAUGGUGCCGAAGCGGCGGGGCGCAGCGAUAAGCUGCGCCGGUAGGGGAGCGUUCCGCGCUGGGCGAAGCCGGAGGGGCGACCCCCGGUGGACGGCGCGGAAGCGAGGAUGCUGGCAUGAGUAGCGAGAGACGAGCGAGAAACUCGUCCGCCGCAAGCCCAAGGUUUCCUGGGCGAGGCUAAUCCCCCCAGGGUCAGUCGGGGGCUAAGGCGAGGCCGGGAGGCGUAGCCGAUGCGCAACGGGCGGACAUUCCCGUACCGCCUGCGGCGCGCCCGAGCCCGAGCGGCGACGCGGAAGGGCAUGCUGUGCGGGGUUCUGGACGUCCCCGUGAAAGCGCGUAGGCCGGGAGCCAGGCAAGUCCGGCUCCCUCGAAGGCCGAGACGCGAGACGAAGCCCCUUCGGGCGAAGCAGCAGAUCCCAUGCCGCCUAGAAAAACCGCGCGGGCGAGCGCCGCAGGCGCCCGUACCAAAACCGACACAGGUGGGCGGGUAGAGCAUACCGAGGCGAUCGGGGGAACCGUGGUCAAGGAACUCGGCACAAUGGCCCCGCAACUUCGGGAGAAGGGGUGCCGCCGGGCGUGGAGGGGCUCGCCCCCCGAGCGCAUGGCGGCCGCAGUGGAUAGGCCCAAGCGACUGUUUACCAAAAACACAGGACUCUGCCAAGCCGCAAGGCGACGUAUAGGGUCUGACGCCUGCCCGGUGCCGGAAGGUUACGCGGAGGGGUUAGCGCGAGCGACGCCCCGAAGCCAAGCCCCGGUAAACGGCGGCCGUAACUAUAACGGUCCUAAGGUAGCGAAAUUCCUUGUCGGGUAAGUUCCGACCUGCACGAACGGCGUAACGACUUGGGCGCUGUCUCGACCACGGACCCGGUGAAAUUGCAUUGUUCGUGAAGAUGCGAGCUACCUGCGGAAGGACGGAAAGACCCCGUGAACCUUCACUGCAGCUUGGCAUUGGCCGUUGGCCCGGAGCGUAGAGGAUAGGCAGGAGGCUUCGAAGCGGGGGCGCCAGCUCCCGUGGAGCCGACCUUGGAAUACUGCCCCCUUCGCGCCGGCGGCCUAACCCCGUCCGUCACCCGGGCGGGGGACCGUGCCAGGCGGGCAGUUUGACUGGGGCGGUCGC
rnacentral:rRNA from 1 species